AUAUCAUUUAAAUUUAAACUUUUUGACGAAAUCACAAAUUCAUAAUCGCGCCAUACUGCUAGCUAGGGGUUUAGUUUUGGUACAAUUCUUCCUCUUCUUUCACCACGAAACGGGAACAGAAUUUCGAUUUGGUACUUUCAUACACGACUAUUUACUUUGAAUUUUUUUUUUGGUUUUAGGUUUUAUAAUGUACUCAGUAAACUUUAAAACCCACAUAUGCACUUCAAAUUUAAUUAGAGACGGAAUAAGCGAGUAUGUUCACUGUAGAAUUACAAAAACAACGAUAACCACUAUAUGGAUAACAAAAGCCAAUUCGACAUUUGUGAGAAAACUUUUUUCCCCAACAAAUUCUUAUUCCGCUUGCUUUGAAUUUUAGUAAUUUUAAAUUUUCACUUUGUUAUCUCCGCACUCCUCGUAUAGCAAACACUAAUGCUGUUUUCAUACUGUGCGCACUAAAACAAUGGCGGCCGCGAUAGCGAUUUUUUUAUACUGCGCUUUUUAAAAAAUAUUUAUUCACAUAAAGUAAUAUUUUUUUACUCUGCACAUCCGAAAUCGAACGAACACAGCCACUACUAAAACCGACGUGUAUCUCCAUCACACUGUGAAUUAAUGGUUGCUGUACUCGUUUUUCCAUUUACUCCUUCGCCAUCAAACACACAUUGCGCGUACUCGUUACCCGAUGUAGCGAGUGAUCUGUCAUCCUGCUCUCACACAAAAUAUAGACAGACUUUCCCUUUUUCUCACAUUGACUCGCAUUCUACAAGCGAAAGUUAAAAUUCACUCAAGAAUUGUAAUAAGGCAGUAUAAAAUCUAAUAUUAAAAACACUAUUUCGCCAUAUUGCUACCAAACAAACAAGAUAAAUGCUGGUUAUUUUACUUAUUUGUAAAGAAAAUCGUUUAGAUAAAAUCAUUUUAUUAGGAUGAAUACGAAUAGCAAUAUUUACUAGGUAUGGCAUCACUUUGUCUGUGAAAUAACACACACUUCAUACUGCAUUAUUUCAGCGACGAAUUAUGUAUUUAAUUAUUUCUGUAUCCUCUUAUUGCAAUCAUUUUAAUUCAAAUAAACUUCUAGAAAAACUCGUCAACUAGAAA